UCAUAAUGUCAUAAGUCAUAACCCUCAGGCCUCAAUAGAAUAAACUCAAUGCUCUAUAUUUUCAAUCACAUACUAAGCAGUAGAAUUAUGAAAUUAAUUUUAUUAGAGAUUUUUCUAUUACCGAUAUAAGUAUAGAUUAUCUUAUAUUUAAUCUUAAAAUGUUGCGUAAAUUAAGAGAAGUGUACCGUCUAGAUAAACGAACAUAUAAAAAUUUUGGUCAUAAAAGAGAACCCGAGCCACUGUUUACAGUAUUGUGGCAUGGAUUUCUUACAUUUUCUUUUAUUGGCAUGGGGAUUGAAUGGAAACGAAUGUAUCGUUUUUUUUUUGAAGAAGAACCUGAAAGGAGUUCACUCACAGAUUUAGAAUAGAUAUUAGUAAUUAGGUAAAACAAUAAAUAUUUAGUUGUCCAAAUAACAUUGUAAAUAUAUGAAUAAUUUAUUUAGUGUCUUCUGAUAAAAUAAAUUUGUCUUUAAUUUCCAUUUAAUUGGCCCUAUAAAACCCUAAUUAUACAUACUAAAUAAUUUCAAGCGCUGCUUAUAUGUCAUUCCUACACCUUCGCGUUUUAUCCUAUAUUUUGCCAUCCUGAUAUAUCCUGGGCCAGGUCUUUAAGCAAAUAAAUCCUCCUUUAAUUUGUUCAUUUCGAGUCUUUCCUGUAUAUUUCCUAAAUAAAUAAAUCUAAUUUCACCAA